rnacentral:rRNA from 1 species
UCGCUACUACCGAUUGAAUGGCUUAGUGAGCUGUAAGGACCGAGGCUACGAUUGGGUUUCCUUUCGUAUGCUUUGCGGAAUUACAUCAAACUUGAUCAUUUAGAGGAAGUAA